rnacentral:rRNA from 1 species
UACGUAGGGUGCAAGCGUUAAUCGGAAUUACUGGGCGUAAAGCGUGCGCAGGCGGUUUGCUAAGACAGGUGUGAAAUCCCCGGGCUUAACCUGGGAACUGCGCUUGUUACUGGCAGGCUUGGAGUGUGGCAGAGGGGGGUGGAAUUCCACGUGUAGCAGUGAAAUGCGUAGAGAUGUGGAGGAACACCGAUGGCGAAGGCAGCCCCCUGGGCUAACACUGACGCUCAUGCACGAAAGCGUGGGGAGCAAACAGG